GUAGUCGUGGCCGAGUGGUUAAGGCGACAGACUAGAAAUAUGUUGGGGUCUACCUGCGCAGGUUCGAACCCUGCCGACUACG
rnacentral:tRNA from 1 species